rnacentral:rRNA from 1 species
UACGUAGGGUGCAAGCGUUAAUCGGAAUUACUGGGCGUAAAGCGUGCGCAGGCGGUUGUGCAAGACAGAUGUGAAAUCCCCGGGCUUAACCUGGGAACUGCAUUUGUGACUGCACGGCUAGAGUGUGUCAGAGGGGGGUAGAAUUCCACGUGUAGCAGUGAAAUGCGUAGAUAUCUGGAGGAACACCGGUGGCGAAGGCGGCAUCCUGGACCGAUACUGACGCUGAGGAGCGAAAGCCAGGGGAGCAAACGGG